rfam:Brassica napus, WGS project CCCW01000000 data, contig: 9555
GGAAAUUAAGAAAUUGUUUCUUAACUUUUAACUAAAAAACUAAAAAACGGUUCUUAAAUAAUGACUUUAAGAACCGGUUCUUAAAUUUUUUAGUUAAAAGUUAAGAAACAAUUUCUUAACUUUC